rnacentral:ncRNA from 2 species
CCGAAUCAACGCGGGGGCUCUCACGUAACCGAGGGCUGAGAUGGCGGCAGGCGGCCGCUGACCGCAUGAACCUGUCCGGGUAAUGCCGGCGUAGGGAGAAUCUCAUGGGCA